CGGAGGGACGGGCCAAGCGCGGAAGAGGGAGGGGGACUCCGCCAUUGAGGAGCCAGAGACCUAUACUAGGUAGAGGCGUGGUCUGCGUGGAACUUCCGAGUUUAUGUAAAACCCCGUCUUUGGGUUCAUUGGUGUUAAAGUCAGGCGGGAUCUACACUGCCGCAUAAAAUCCAGAUUAUCCGCAUAAAAUCCAUAUUGUAGGAAAGUUACUCAAGCCCCUUCUGCACUGCCAAAUAAUCCGGGUUAUCAAAACAAAUAAUCCACAUUAUCUGCUUGGAACUGUAUAAUAUGAGUCUACACUGACAUAUAAUCCAGUUCAAAGCAGAUAAUCCGGAUUAUAUAUGGCAGUGUAGAAGGGGCCUAAGUAUAUUAAAGGAAAGUUACUCAAGCCCCUUCUGCACUGCCAUAUAAUCCGGGUUAUUAAAGCAAAUAAUCUGGAUUAUCUGUUUGGAACUGGAUUAUAUGGAAGUGUAGACCAGGCAUAGGCAAACUUGGGCUGGUAGGCUGUUAGGAAUUGUGGGAGUUGAAGUCCAAAACACUUGGAGGGCUGGAGUUUGCCCAUGCCUGGUCUACACUGCCAUAUAAUCCAGUUCCAAGCAGAUAAUCUGGAUUUUAUAUGGCAGUGUAGAAGAGGCUUUAGGAUCAAAGAAAUGGGGUAUGUUGCUACCUUGAGAUCCAAUCCUAGCUCUUUUAGGAUAUGUAAGAAAUCAGUUUAGUGUGUGUCUCAACUGCAAAAUAAGGUGCAUGAAGUUGAUUGGUUGAACCAUGCCUGGAGAGCUGUUAAGCCUGGGAAUUUUUGAUAUUGUUGCAAUUUUGUUCAGGCUUGAGCUAAGCAGUUGGAAGAAAGAAGCAGGGAGAGAGACAAAGUUUUAUGAGCUGCUGGAAGGAAUUUAUCCACCUGGACAAAGGAAAGACUAUUUUAAAUAUCUCAUAAAAGGAGAUAUUUAGAUAUGGAAUUUCAUUAAAGGCAACUUGACCCCGGCA